GCCGCGCGCCUCGCCCCGCGCUACCGACACUGCCGCAUAUGUGUUGCAUGCAUCAAGAUGCACCAGGCAUUCGAUCAUGUUCUUUGCUAUCCUUAAUUGUGACAAAUCACGGGAUAACACAGUGCUUUAAGAAUCCCCCACAUUAUAUUAUGGAAUAUAAAUCAGUCCACGAAUAAAACUUGUUUUUCGUAAUGAGUUGUGUACAGUAUACACUAUUCGUCAGUGGGGAGGUCAGUGAACGCUGAGGAUUGCCAGAUCCCGUGAUCGGAACUAUGUAUAGCUCGACUACCCUGCGGGAGGUGACAGUGGUGGAUGGUGUUCAACUAAUAAUAGCCUCCCCUCCAGCGCGCGAUCAUUGGAACGCUGACGGGAGCGCACACAUGUGGCGCCCGUCGGCGUCGUGCUCAGCGUACACGUUUAUUUUCGAAACGGUCGUCACGCGGCGCGGUUCACGGUGUUCGGGUGUUCCUUACAUAAGAGCCGGCCUCCGGCGAGUCCGCCGUCGAGGCUCUGUCCUGCACUUCGCCCAGUCCCCGCGCGCUGCAGGUCGCUGCACGUUCGGGUAACCGAUCCGAUGGACGCUCGCCGUCGGUUCUAUUUCGGGAAAAUACAAAUUUGGAAUGGAUGGUACUCCCGAGUCGUAAGCGAACUCCGUCGGUUGACUCCAUUUUUAGAGCUGGUCUGCGCGUGCGCAGCGUGCGCGCUGCCAGUGCUCAGCGAGCUGCCAUCACGCCGCGUCGCUCGCCACCCCCACGUUGUCCCCGACUGUCGCGUUGUGCUCCCGUCGCUAUCAAGUACGAGGUGGCGUCACGAUCAGGACGACCGCUGCAUAUUAUUGAUAUGUAACAGGUAGUUGCUUAUUGCAACUGCACAGGACUGCAGUACACUCAAGAAUGAAGACACAAAGCCUUGCGCGAGUUCCGUGCUUCCUUACUUCCCAUAGUGCUUAUAAUCGUAUGGAAUGUAAAGAAGUAUGGAGCUGCGCGGGCGUGCCUGCGAGUCCGGAAAUCGCAUCAUCCUUGUUCACAUGUGUGACAGAAGCUUUGUCUUGUUAUUUGUGAUAACAAUUUGACAGUGUUCUAAUUUAAUUAAAUUGUGUGAUAGCUGUUCUGCAUUCGGAA